rnacentral:rRNA from 1 species
UACGAAGGGGGCUAGCGUUGUUCGGAAUUACUGGGCGUAAAGCGCACGUAGGCGGAUCGAUCAGUCAGGGGUGAAAUCCCGGGGCUCAACCCUGGAACUGCCUUUGAUACUGUCGAUCUGGAGUAUGGGAGAGGUGAGUGGAAUUCCGAGUGUAGAGGUGAAAUUCGUAGAUAUUCGGAGGAACACCAGUGGCGAAGGCGGCUCACUGGUCCAUUACUGACGCUGAGGUGCGAAAGCGUGGGGAGCAAACAGG